AGAGUUUGAUCAUGGCUCAGAAUCAACGCUGGCGGCGUGCCUAACACAUGCAAGUCGAGCGAGAAAAGGGGGGCAACUCCCUGAGUACAGCGGCGCACGGGUGAGUAACACGUGGGUAAUCUGCCCUGGAGUGGGGAAUAACACCGGGAAACCGGUGCUAAUACCGCAUACGAUAGCGAGGUCUGCGGACUUUGCUAUGAAAGGAGCAAUUCGCUCUAGGAGGAGCCCGCGGCUGAUUAGCUAGUUGGUGAGGUAAUGGCUCACCAAGGCUACGAUCAGUAUCCGGUCUGAGAGGACGGUCGGACACACUGGAACUGAGACACGGUCCAGACUCCUACGGGAGGCAGCAGUGGGGAAUUUUUGGCAAUGGGGGCAACCCUGACCAAGCAACGCCGCGUGGGUGAUGAAGUCUCUUGGGACGUAAAACCCUUUCGACGGGGAAGAAAACCGCAAGGUUUGACGGUACCCGUAGAAGAAGCCCCGGCUAACUCCGUGCCAGCAGCCGCGGUA
rnacentral:rRNA from 1 species